CACGCAGGCGGCCUGAGAAGUCCGGCGUGAAAGCUCCUGGCUUAACUGGGAGAGGCCGUUGGAGACUGGCAGGCUUGAGGGAGUGAGAGGGAGGCGGAAUUCCCGGUGUAGUGGUGGAAUGCGUAGAUAUCGGGAAGAACACCAGUGGCGAAAGCGGCCUUCUGGCACUCACCUGACGCUGAGGUGCGAAAGCGUGGGAGCGAACG
rnacentral:rRNA from 1 species